ACUGCUCAGUAACACGUGGGUAACAUGCCCUAAGGUGGGGGAUAAUCUCGGGAAAUGAGGGUAAUACCCCAUAGGUCUGAUCUGCUGGAAUGCUUUCAGGUCGAAAACUCCGGUGCCUUAGGAUUGGCCUGCGGCCUAUCAGGCUGUAGUGGGUGUAACGGACCCACUAGCCCGUGACGGAUAUGGGCCUUGAGAGAGGGAGCCCAGAGAUGGACUCUGAGACAUGAGUCCAGCCCUUACGGGGCGCAGCAGUCGCGAAAACUUCGCAUGGGGGCAACCCCGACGAGGGAAUUCCAAGUGCCAGCACUUUGUGUUGGCUGUUCUCCUGUCUAAAAAACAGGAGGAGUAAGGGGCGGGUAAGACGGGUGCCAGCAGCCGCGGUAAUACGAU
rnacentral:rRNA from 1 species